CUUCUUUUCCAGCUCCGAUACAGACCUGUUUGCGCUUUGGCUUUGAGAGAGGCAGGAGCUGUUCCUAGGCGUAUGUUUAUGUGACUUUCCCUCCUAAGGCAGCUGAACUAACCCAUAUUCUCUGCUGACCCCAGGCACAGGCUAAUUUUGCUUUCUCGCAUGCUCCUCAAGUCUGAACGAUCAUCGAUUAGCAAGUCUGCAGGCUAUUCUGAGCUUUGACAAAUUUAAAACCUAUAAAGCAGCAACUGUGGCACGAGUUCACUUGAGGUGGUUAGUGGCUGGGCUACGACUUGCCAGUUAGAUUAGCUCCACACUGGUGGUCCCUCGGAGCUCCGGGGAUGCUCUGGCUCCCUUCUGCACAUGAACUCAAUGUCAAUGCAAAUGCCAGGCAGAGGCUUUUUGUGAGUGCAGAUGUUGAGCUGGCUGUCUGGUUGAAGGAGUCUUGUUUAACUUGUAUACCCCUUUGCCUUUUCUCCAAUGCUUGCGCCUCUAAGAAAUUGCGAGUUUCAUGUAACGUGAUGUGUAAACUAGGGAGUACGGCAAAUUGUAGUGUGCUAUAUGUGCUUCAGAGGCAGUGUGUGAACUGACUCUUCUUGGAAAUCUGACACUUUAGUUAUCUGCUGUGGCUGCCCCAUCUGAUAGUUCACAACUCAAGAACAUAGGGUUUAGGGGUGGUUUUUUUUCAUUUAUAUGAUUUAUAGCCUUAGUAAGAAAGUAUGAAGACAUUCCAGGAUAUGCACUUCCAUUUAUUUAAUUGUGUGCUUCCUUGGGCCCUACACACAGGUGAAUAAGCAGAGUAAAAGUGAUUUAUUUUUUUUUCCCUUUUGGUGUGCAAGGUGAUAGCUAGUUUUUCUUACCCUAUCUACUGCUGUCUUUUAUGGAUUCCAUUUCAUACCUUCAGUCUCCCUGGAAAAAAAAAAAAAUGCUGCAUUUAUUCAGUCAAAGCUUCUGCUGUGCUGGAAAAA